UGGGGAAUAUUGCACAAUGGGGGAAACCCUGAUGCAGCGACGCCGCGUGAGUGAAGAAGUAUUUCGGUACGUAAAGCUCUAUCAGCAGGGAAGAAAAUGACGGUACCUGACUAAGAAGCCCCGGCUAACUACGUGCCAGCAGCCGCGGUAAUACGUAGGGGGCAAGCGUUAUCCGGAUUCACUGGGUGUAAAGGGAGCGUAGACGGCGAGACAAGUCUGGAGUGAAAGGCCGGGGCCCAACCCCGGGACUGCUCUGGAAACUGUUGAGCUUGAGUGCAGGAGAGGCAGGCGGAAUUCCUAGUGUAGCGGUGAAAUGCGUAGAUAUUAGGAGGAACACCAGUGGCGAAGGCGGCCUGCUGGACUGUAACUGACGUUGAGGCUCGAAAGCGUGGGGAGCAAACAGG
rnacentral:rRNA from 1 species